rnacentral:rRNA from 1 species
GGGCUGCAGUCGAGGAUAUUUCGCAAUGGGGGAAACCCUGACGAUGCGACGCCGCGUGAGGGAUGAAAGCCUUCGGGUUGUAAACCUCUGUGUUACGGGAAGAAACGUAAGUUAGUGAAAGCUAUCUUAUCUGACUGUACCGUGAUAGAAAGCCCCAGCAAACUGCGUGCCAGCAGCUGCGGUAAUACGUAGGGGGCUAGCGUUGUCCGGAAUUAUUGGGCGUAAAGGGUGUGUAGGUGGCUGUGUAAGUCUUAUGUGAAAUUGCUGGGCUCAACCGAGCAACUGCAUUUGAUACUACAUGGCUUGAGUAUGGGAGAGGGAAGUGGAAUGGGUAGUGUAACGGUGAAAUGUGUAGAUAUUAUCCAGAACACCAGUGGCGAAGGCGGCUUCCUGACCUAAUACUGACGCUGAGGCACGAAAGCCAGGGUAGCGAACGGGAUUAGAUACCCUAGUAGUC